AAGACCUUGCGCUUUUGGAGCGGCCGAUGCCUGAUUAGCUUGUUGGUAAGGUAAAAGCUUACCAAGGCUUCGAUCAGUAGCUGGUCUGAGAGGACGGCCAGCCACACUGGGACUGAGACACGGCCCAGACUCCUACGGAAGGCAGCAGUGGGGAAUUUUGGACAAUGGGGGCAACCCUGAUCCAGCCAUGCCGCGUGAGUGAAGAAGGCCUUCGGGUUGUAAAGCUCUUUCAGCCGGAACGAAACGGUUACGGUUAAUACCCGUGAUUACUGACGGUACCGGAAGAAGAAGCACCGGCUAACUACGUGCCAGCAGCCGCGGUAAUACGUAGGGUGCGAGCGUUAAUCGGAAUUACUGGGCGUAAAGCGUGCGCAGGUGGUUUUGUAAGUCAGAUGUGAAAGCCCCGGGCUCAACCUGGGAACU
rnacentral:rRNA from 1 species